CCAUCUAACUUUAUCACCUUCACUUUAUCAACUCAUAAUCUCACCCUCAUCCUUGACGAUCAAUUUCAUUCUUGUCCUCAAAUCUAGGAUUAGGAAUUCAAAUCAAUCAUCACUUGUCCCAACCUUCUAUCCGAAAUCUUUGACCUUCUCUGCCGGGACAUAAAGAGAUCAAUGUUUCUCGACAAAUCUACCUCCGCGAUAUCCGAUACAUAUAAACUCAACUGCUUCCACACCACAACUAUGAGUUUCGUUCGCCUUGACACUUUAUCGGACCAAAAUUAAGCGUGAGGUUGACCCAUGAGAAACUUUGGAGGAUCUAAUUCUCACUGUUGGACAUGGAUUACUCAUCAUCCUCUUUGUUCGCAUUUCUCGACCUUCAUUGUUAUUUGUAUUUCUCCUUAUGGUUUAUAACACAAUCCAUCAUGCUCAUAUACCUUUGUGUUUCUAUAGAGGAUGCUCAACUUACCCCUGUUUUACAUCUUGGAGCUGGAGCAUGUGCUGGAAUAAUUGCUCUGUCUGGAGCUUAUCCAAUGGAUAUGGUCCAAGGCAUGAUAAAAGUACAAGUCCAUUUUUCAUUUUAGCAAAUGAUUGCUUCUGUUGUUGUGGAUUAUAAUGGUAGUUGUAAUAUUAAUUGAAGAAAGUAUAUAUGGUCCCAGAGUUUGACAGAGAGUUUUUUGCCUUGUAUUUGCAGUACCGAGGAAUGUUCUAUGCUUUUACUACUAUACCUAUUUUAUUAAGAAUAUUUACAUGCUUGGUCUUGUUGAGUUUUUCAAUUUUUUUUUUAAAUUGUUGGGUUAACAAGUGGGUUGAUCCUUUUAUCAAUUUAUUUAAUUGUUUAAAAUUGAACUUUAAAUUUUAAAAAUGGUCCUAGUAGGUAGGAUUUUAGGAAGGGUGCAUCCCUAGGUUCUCUGUUUGUACAUAAUUGAUAGUGGUAGGAUCUAAUGGUAUGUACUAGCUACAUUUAUUCAAUUAGUCAUGUUGUACCAUUGAGCCAAAGUCAGCUAAGAGCAACAUUUAGGUAUUUAUAUGGAUAAUACCUCACAUUAUUAGAGGCAAGCUAUAUUUCAUGAUUCUCUAUAGGGCUAAAAAUGGAAAGCUAAUGCAUUCGUAUGUUGUUUAUAUUUAGGAUCACAAUUCUAAAAACUUUCCAAUACAAUUCAUAACAAAUACUGAUUAUUGUUACCACUACGGUCUCCACUGCCAAUUACCCUGUCUGAUCCCCCAUUAGCCACAUCAUGCUAAUGAAACAAAUGUCUCCAUAGGUUUCUCAACCUUAGCCAACGCAGAGGGUCUAUCACAUGUUCAUACCAUCAGAAAAUGCAUUCUAGAUUUGAAGUGGAUGACUUUUUGUUGUUGUUGUUUAUGACAAAUAGGCGACUGAUUCUAGCAUGAACAAAAAGAUGGUGCAGUUAUGCUAUAACAUUGGUUUAUCUAUUUUGGGAAACUUUACCAUAAAAGAAGUUAUGCUCUAUUGGUGCAGUUCUUGCUGAAACAAAACUUGGAUCAGUUAUGAUUAAUUGUUUAGGCCAUUUGCAGUGUCUAGGCCAUUUGCAUCAAAGCCAACAAGAAAAAGACUAUGCAAAAGUGGCCCUGCUACUGCACAAAAGAGAC